UCCUACUCCUGCUGCUCCUGGCCGUGGCCCUGCCUGCCAGGGCUGCCCAGGCUGCUCCGCUGCAAGCGCGGCGAGCAGACUGGAAUAGUGACAUGGGUUUUCAGGAAGUCCUGAUGAAGGAUGGUUUGAAGUUCUUUGAGGAUGCUGGAGCUGAACCUGCCGGUGAAGGCCCCACAUCCAGGACUGAGGCUCUGGGAGAUGCUGAGGGUGUGUCUACAGGGAGGAGAUUCAUACGUACAUUGGUGGUUAUUGCCAACAAGACCAGUUUGCAUGGCAGGGUGCCUCCGAAGAGGAAGAUGCAAGACACAACAGAGAAGAUAUCCCUGGAACCAUCCAAACAGAUGAGGCAAGUGCUGAAGAAAAUGCUGCAGGGAGGACAAG